rnacentral:tRNA from 1 species
GCGCUAUUUGUAUAGUGGUAGUAUGCUGGCUUCCCAAGCCCGCGGCCCGGGUUCAAUUCCCGGAUGGCGCA